rnacentral:pre_miRNA from 1 species
CUCGUACUCCCUCCGUCUGGAAAUACUUGUCAUCAAAAUGGAUAAAAGAGAUGUGUCUAGAUAUUUUUUGUUCAUUUUGAUGACAAGUAUUUUUGAACGGAGGGAGUACUCG